CCUACGGGGGGCAGCAGUGGGGAAUAUUGGGCAAUGGAGGCAACUCUGACCCAGCAACGCCGCGUGAAUGAUGAAGGUCUUCGGAUUGUAAAGUUCUUUUCUAAGGGAAGAAGAAAGUGACGGUACCUUAGGAAUAAGCCUCGGCUAACUACGUGCCAGCAGCCGCGGUAAUACGUAGGAGGCAAGCGUUAUCCGGAAUGACUGGGCGUAAAGGGUGCGUAGGUGGUUUGACAAGUUAGUAGCGAAACUCCGGGGCUCAACUUCGGAACUACUACUAAAACUGUUGGACUUGAGUGCAGGAGAGGCAAUCGGAAUUCCUAGUGUAGCGGUGAAAUGCGUAGAUAUUAGGAAGAACACCGGUGGCGAAGGCGGAUUGCUGGACUGUAACUGACACUGAGGCACGAAAGCGUGGGGAGCAAACAGGAUUAGAUACCCUAGUAGUC
rnacentral:rRNA from 1 species